rnacentral:rRNA from 1 species
ACGUAGGGGGCAAGCGUUGUCCGGAUUUAUUGGGCGUAAAGAGCUCGUAGGCGGUUCCGUAAGUCGGGUGUGAAAAAUCUGGGCUCAACCCAGUGGAGCACCCGAUACUGCGGUGACUGGAGUCCGGUAGGGGAGUGUGGAAUUCCUGGUGUAGCGGUGAAAUGCGCAGAUAUCAGGAGGAACACCGACGGCGAAGGCAGCACUCUGGGCCGGUACUGACGCUGAGGAGCGAAAGCAUGGGGAGCGAACAGGA